rnacentral:rRNA from 1 species
ACUCCUACGGGAGGCAGCAGUGGGAAUAUUGGACAAUGGGGGAAACCCGUAGCAUCCAGCCAUGCCGCGUGUGUGAAGAAGGCCUUCGGGUUGUAAAGCACUUUCAGUGGGGAGGAAAGGUUGUUGGUUAAUACCUAACAGCUGUGACGUUACCCACAGAAGAAGCACCGGCUAACUCCGUGCCAGCAGCCGCGGUAAUACGGAGGGUGCGAGCGUUAAUCGGAAUUACUGGGCGUAAAGCGCAUGCAGGCGGCCUGUUAAGUCAGAUGUGAAAGCCCGGGGCUUAACCUCGGAAUUGCAUUUGAAACUGGCAGGCUAGAGUCUUGUAGAGGGGGUAGG